rnacentral:snoRNA from 1 species
CUGUAGCCAGUUAAGCUGACUGGGUUCCUUUCCUCACAGGGGCCAGGUGUGUAAUGGCUGCGAACAGCAGCCUCCUUGGUUGGAGUCAGUU